ACUCCACAAGUAAUUUCCCGAAGUAAAGAGUCAGUGUUAUUGAACUGAACAUAUUGAAAUCUUCCCUGAAAAUAACUUUUUAUCCAGUCAUAUGCAAUACGUCUGAUCCCAUAUUUUUGUAAUUUAGUUAGUAAUAUUGCAAUGCUUUCUGUAGAUCAAAGAAAAUGCCAGCUGUAUAUUGUUUUCUAUCAAUUGCCAUCGCUAUACUUUCAACAAAAUCCAUCAAUGCCAGUGAUGUAGUCUGACAUUUUCUGAAUCCAUAUUGCUCAUCACAAAGUAUCUCAUGCUUUAAUAAAUAGUCAUGCAAUCUCUUAGCAAAUAUUUUUUCUUGAAAUUUGGAAAAUUGUGGUAGGAGUGAAAUAGAUGUAUUUCACUCCUACCUGAGAUAGGGGCCUGAGAUGGACCAUGGACAAUUGCUCAGUCCCACUUUUAUACCCAAUUUACACCUAGCCUAGACAAGGUGGGUUUAUUCCUGGUUUAGACCAUAAUAAACUUUAUACCUGGUGUAGAACUUAGUUGUCCUGGUACACCUCCUCUCUCCAGUAGGGAACAAGCCACUUUCAGACGAGCCCAAGCAAUGGCUUGCUGCUGGGUUUCAGUGUUCGCCAAAUGCACUUUGCUGAGGUAGGCUUUAGCAAACUGCAAAAGAGACAUUCUGCAUAUUUAGAUAUGACUACAGCCUAUUACAAAAAUGGUCUCAUGAAACAUACAAAAGAUCAUUACCAUUAAUACUAAAAUCCCACAGCUGUUCCCAUCCUCCUGUUUCUUGUGCUCAAACAUUCUGGCAGCCCACCUGUCUGUAUCACCACAGCCAGCCCUUCUCAAAAAAAUCCUAAUGGUUGUUAAAACAGCAACAAAAGGAUGAGGCAAAUUCUUUUGAUAUAAAAACCAGGCUGAGGUCAACCAAAACAAGUGAUUAUUAAAAACGUGACCUCCAGUUUAGCAGAAUCUUGCGCUCAUAAAUAGCCUCGUUUGCAAGGGGAUCAAUCAACACAAUCUGUUUCUUUGAAUGAUUUACAAUCUAAAAUGUAUAUUAAUUUGAGGGAAGCGCCGUGCAGCAGCCGUGAAACUUGCUCAUGGUACAUUGAGUCCCAAACAGGAAGUGCCAAAUUUUGAGUCCACUGUGAUGCCAAAUUUUGAGUCCACAGUGAAAUGGUAAAUAUAAAAUGUUGAACACUUCCCACGAGACGAGAUCUCACGGGAGUUGAGUGCCAAGUUGGGACUGAAAUGGGAAAUGCCAAAUUUUGAGUCCCCGGUGAAACAGGAAAUGUCAAAUGUUGAACACUUACGAGCAUGGGUGGCGCUAGAGGGGAGUCCAGGGUUGCACUGGACUCUUCUGAAAUCUGAUUGGACACAAAUGAUUGAUAUGUCACGGCACUGCAUAUCUGGUUGAAAAGAGCUGCAUUUUGAAAUCAGUGACACAUUGACUGCUAAGUUCUUCCUGUACAGUAGUGAGCACUGUGUACCACAAAAGUUCUAAUCCACUUUAGUAGAAGAAGAAAAAUGUUUUCCUCAGAUUUGAGCUGAACACGUCGUCUGAACACGUCGUUUGAACCAUGGACUGAUAAUGACACCAAAGUUAUAUUGUGAUUUUAAAGAAGCAGGCAGCUGUUGAUUCAUGAGAUAUAACGUGAAGACGCUCACGCUGAAAGAAAUACAGACAUUUCCCCCAUACUGUUUACAGGCCAGUGACAGUAGCUCAGUGGUAAAGUUUCGGGCUGACAAUGAGUAAAGUGCAGAUACCUACAUAAGUGCCAUUCAUCCUGUCGUUGCCAAAUAACAUGAGGAGGACAUUGCCAAGAAGUCUCAAACUCCAUCUAGAGCAGCUGAAGCUUCUGUGAAAUCACAGAUUUAUUUGGCAGGCAGGAAGGAGUAUAAUUGCAAUGAUUCUUGGGGAUCAGCAGCUAAGCAUUUGACAAAUAUGUAAAGAUUGACAUCUUUGGAAAAAGAAGAUGGAUCUCAUAGGAAUGGGAAUACAAGAAGUAAGGAAUGUGAGAAGACCCUACAUUCAUUUGGUAUGGAGUAUAUAUUGCAUUUGUAUCUGGAAUUUGAAAGCUGUGGACAUUAAACUAUUAAAUAAAAAAUUAUAUGAAGUAUAUUUCUGAAAGACAAGUCCAAGGAAUCAAAGAAGUCGGACAUGAAGCGGCUGUGAAUCAAAGAUAUUACAAAAAUGAUGAAAUGAAUGUAAAGCCAAAAACCCUCCCCAUUAUCUUUAAAAUUCAGUUAACUGAAGGCUGAAAAACCAAAGGUGUGCAGCCAUUACUCUGCUCUCUGCUCUCUUCCACAGCAUGUCUUUUUCCUGGUUCUCUCCCUCAGCCCCAACCAGUCCCAGCAGAAG